rnacentral:siRNA from 1 species
AGCGGGUGCGGUUGCGGUUACGGG